UUCAUGAGGUAAAUGCUACCAUCUUUUCCCAUUUUAUUUAAUAAGGUUUGCAAGUAACAUUCUAUUACCUUAAUGAAAAAGCACAUUUAAAUAAGAAAUACACAAAACAUGCCUAUUACACAAAAAGGUAACAAUAUUACUGGUGUGCUUUGGCAAUUUAUAUCAUGCAAGUUUGAAAUGCUAAUAGCUCAUGAAUAUUCUUGCCUCUCCCAUGAGCCACUUGUGAGGUUGCAGAGUUUUGAACUCUGAGUGAUGGAGGGUGUACCUAGCCUUUUUUGCUGCUGAUGGUACAACAGCAACCACCACUUCACAAUCGUUUUUGCUCCAAAGGUCCAUUGCUGUGUCUGGAAUCAUCUGGAUGGUAUUGGUGCUGAUCUGUGUAACUUCUGGACUUUGUGAUGGCUGUGGCAGUACUUCAGGUGGGUCAAAGUAUUUUGUUUUAUGUCUGUCCUUGUCCUUUCUUGAUGUUUUCUGUGCCCAUUCUUCUUUCUGGCUGAAGAACUUUUCUUUAGGUUCUGGAUCACGGUAAGGCAGUAACAGAUUGUUGUUAAUUAUGUGUUCUUUGUAUCUGCCUUGGAGAGAUCCAUACAUGUUCUGUAUGAAGUCAGCAGGACGCAGGUACUUCUUCUUUUUAAGGAUGCUGUGUUUAACAAUCCAAAACCACUGUUCCACAUGACAGUUACUUUCCCUUGUUUUGGAUUGUUGGCUGACUGUAGCUGUGCUGAUUUCAGAAAACCGGCUAAGAUCCCCAAGAAGAACUCCACUCCACAGCGGGAAGAUACUCAUGUAGUUGUUCAUGAGGAAGUCGAUGAGCUCUGGACAGAAAAAGAUCCAGGGCAGUUUUGGCUGCAUUCACCACGUCGGUCUCCUCUUCUGAUGUGAAAAGAACAGCCAUAUCUUCAAAUACAGCUGUUGCCUCUUCUAGAUGUGUGCUGUUUAACAACAAGGCAAAGCAAAGGACACUUGAAAUUAGUCCCCAACUGAAGUCCGUCUCCACUUGAUGGACAUGGCAUGAUGUUAUUUGACCAAGAGCCCUUAAUGUUUCCAUCAGCCAGUAUGUCAAGGUUGGAAUUGAGUGCUGAUUUGAUACAAGCUCACUAACUGGUAGUGGCGGCAUGUUUUUGCCCAUUCCUGGCAGUACAAGUGCAUAGUAGAGCACUCUUUUGGGCUGACUGGUAAUGCGGGAGAUAACGCUACCUGUGGCAUCCAGGUGAAGUGUUACUGGUUUUUUUUUUUUAAGAUGCUGGGCCAAAAUUUGUAAACCACAUAGUGUGUACAAAUGUACAGCAAAUGGGUCCACCUGCAAAUGUUGUAAGUAGCCAGCAGUCUCAGGACAAUCAGAUGUAGCACAUUCCUUUAUUAUUUUUUGUGUAAGCAUAAGCUCCAGGAUUAUGUCAUCAUGUAGCCUGGUGCUUUUUUUCAGUUCGCUAGAAAUUACCCUUAACACAUCUUUAGUCAAGGACUGUGAGAUGUUACCUGCCAAAAUCUCUUCUGGUGUGGAUUUUCUUACGGCUUCAUAAUAGUAAGUGCUCACACCUUGUGUGAGGGCCUUUGCAAUUUUCCCCCUUCGUGUAUAUUUGGCUUGUCUGAAUUGUUGGUGAUCGUUUUUGUGUGUUAUGUUUCCAUUGCGAGCAACAAAGACAGUUAUUUUCUUUUUUGAUUUUGUUGGGGGGGGGUUUAUUGUGAAAGUAUAGACUGCUGAACAGUCUUUAAAGGUGCAAGUGGCACGUGCUUUGAAAAAAGGCAGGGCUCGUUU